rnacentral:rRNA from 1 species
ACGUAGGGUGCAAGCGUUAAUCGGAAUUACUGGGCGUAAAGCGUGCGCAGGCGGUUUUGUAAGUCUGAUGUGAAAUCCCCGGGCUCAACCUGGGAAUUGCAUUGGAGACUGCAAGGCUAGAAUCUGGCAGAGGGGGGUAGAAUUCCACGUGUAGCAGUGAAAUGCGUAGAUAUGUGGAGGAACACCGAUGGCGAAGGCAGCCCCCUGGGUCAAGAUUGACGCUCAUGCACGAAAGCGUGGGGAGCAAACAGG